CAGAAGCUGCAGGAGAUCAUGAAGCAGACGGGCUACCUGACCAUCGGGGGCCAGCGCUACCAGGCAGAAAUCAACGACCUGGAGAACUUGGGCGAGAUGGGCAGCGGCACCUGCGGCCAGGUUUGGAAGAUGCGCUUCCGGAAGACCGGCCACGUCAUUGCCGUUAAGGUGAGCCUUGGCGGCUACCCCGGCUGCGCCCCACACCCCAGGCCGGUGCUAAGGCUCCCUCCUGUCCCUGCCUGUGCAGCAAAUGCGGCGCUCGGGGAACAAGGAGGAGAACAAGCGCAUCCUCAUGGACCUGGAUGUGGUGCUCAAGAGCCACGACUGCCCCUACAUCGUGCAGUGCUUUGGGACGUUCAUCACCAACGUGAGUCCCUGGCCGCGCCCUGCAGCGUCUCCUCCUCCCUCACCCCUGCCCCUUCCUAGGGAGCAGAGCCUUUGGGGGGUGGGCCAGAAGACACAGCUCCCCCGGGUGCCCCCUCUCCCUGCAGACGGACGUCUUCAUCGCCAUGGAGCUCAUGGGCACCUGCGCUGAAAAGCUCAAGAAGCGGAUGCAGGGCCCCAUUCCCGAGCGCAUUCUGGGCAAGAUGACAGUGGCGAUUGUGAAGGCGCUGUACUACCUGAAGGAGAAGCACGGUGUCAUCCACCGCGACGUCAAGCCCUCCAACAUCCUGCUGGACGAGCGGGGCCAGAUCAAGCUCUGCGACUUCGGCAUCAGCGGCCGC
rnacentral:sRNA from 1 species